rnacentral:sRNA from 1 species
UAUUAUCUAUUACUUUGAUUUUCCCAUAACAUAUUUGCAAUAUUGUCUCUUAUUUGCGUCAUAUGUUCUCCAUCUGCUAUAUCUGUUGCUUCUAUAUCAUCUAAAUCAUGAUCAAAAUCUAUGUUGUUUAUAUUUGCCUCUGUCAUUACAUCUGCAAAAUCUGCAUCUGAGAAGUUUGAAAUUCUGAUGAAAUUAUGUAAUCCCACUGUAGCAAUUACCACUCUUUUUUGAACAUGAACAUUAUAUCUUGGAAAAUCAGAAAGAAACUUCCUUUUUUUUCCAAACUCCAAAAGUUCUCUCGAUAACAUAACAUAAAGAUGCGUGACAUUGGUUAAACAGUUCAUGUUUGUUUCUAGGAGGAGGACCAGAAUAGAAUUGAGACAUAUGAUAUCUCACAACUCGAUUUCGUGACGAUCUAUAAGGAGCUAGAAAUCCUUGUUUGUUUGGGUAGCCAGAAUCAACCAGAUAAUACUUCUCUAACGGAGGCAAAGAAAACUCGGAAUCACUUUGUUGUGCUAUUUGUAGAACAGCUGUAUCGUGGCAAGAACCUGGUGCUCCAUUCUAGAUAUAUGUGAAUAACAUAUUUUAAUCACAUAUUGCCAUGAUAUUCAAGGAUGCAUUAUCGUGCCGAUUCCAAUACAUUUCCUGUAACUCAGGCUUUACUUUUACGCACACAUGUGUCCCAUCCGUAGCUCCAACGAAUCCACUAAAAUAUGGCCAAUAUCUUCGGUCUACUUGAAGUCUUUCAGGAAUUCGAUAGAGUUCUUCUCUUGUCGGAGUUCUAAUAUAAUCACAUGCUAAUAAUUCUGUUGCCGUAAGAACUUCUCUAAAUUUUCUUUGCACAGUUUCUUGAUUUCGUCCAAAUCUUAAACCAUCAUCUCUUUGAACUUUAUUGUGCCCACAUAUCCGUAGAAACAGCGCAACACUUUCUUCAAUACUUAUAUUCAAUGUUGGUUGAAGACCAUAAUUUGUUUGCAACAUAUUACACAAUGUCGUGAAACAUGGAAGUGACAUCCGUAAUAAUUGAAGACAAGCAGCAUCAUCUUACUGUAGUCGACGCCAUAUAUUUCUCCAUCCCAAACCUCUAUCAUUUUGGACGGGUGCUCUUUGAAAAUAUCGGUCAAAAUAAUUCAAAGCUGGUUAAAUUACUAACUCUUUAAAUUGUUCAUUUUCCAAAUUCCACAAUUCAAUUCUUUCUUCGUAACUUAGAUUGUUAAGGUCUUGUGAUCGCAACUGACAUAUACGAAAUGCCUGAAAUUCAAUACAAACGAUUUCUUGCAUUAGUCAUAGAUUAUUUUACAAACAUAAAUUAAAAAUAAAUUCAAAUUUAAACUAAAAAA